GACGAAUGCAAUUAAAAUACAAGCAGACAGAUGGUUCUGUCACACUCCUAUUGUCCUUAUCUCUGUCUUUUACUAUCAAUAGCAAACAUACAUUUUAAAACAGAAACCUUGAAGGGACAACGGGUGAGGUGCUUAGAGGCAGAGGAACACUGCUGUGUUAGUGUGACGAGAGCAAUCUCGCCACAUUGCAUUGGAGAAGCCUGGCUGCCCGCCUGCUGCCUUUGGACUAUGGACCAGACUUUAUGUAAAUGUGUUAACC